GACAAUCUAACCGGCGCGGCGCCGUCAAUAGUUCAACGCACGUUACUUAAAAUACGGGACAGUGUUUUGUCCCUUUGACUUUUGCAUCGUAUAGCAAGUACACAUUACCAGCCACUCGAUUAUAGAUCUUAGCAUAUUGACUUAAAGUUCACGAAUGUGAAUGAUAUUUAUAGACGCCAACGACGCCAUGCUCAUUGCCUUGGUAUCAACACAGAGCGAUAACUAUCGCGCUCGUUUCCAUUUUAAACCGUAUGAUAAUUGUGUAAGGUUCAUAUUUCAGUGCAUAAUGCAAUAUAUGACGACGAAUUAAUAGUAAACAUGGCAUUCGGGCGCGGACGCUGUUUUAUCAAAGACGCGUGGUAUUUAUACUUUAUUUGGAGAAAUAUGUAGUAGAUUUUAGAACAAUAUAAUUGUUGUUUGUUAACAAGUGUUUUAAAAGGAAUGUUCAGUGUGUUGUAAGGAAAAUGGACGAUGUGCUUGUGUUAUUUACAAUCUUUGUUGUUAUUAUUUUUGGAGGUUUCUUGUGCGUCUUUUUAUAUCGACUAUACAAAGAAUGCAACCGCAAGACAAAACCUACCACAAAUACUACAGAAAGAAAGACUCACGGUCAACGGACAACACGGUGGAACAGAGAUAUGAGCGAUGAUGAUGAUGGUCGUUAUUUCCGAGAUGACUGGCCCGUGGUACCAGUUGUCAACAAUUAUAGUUAUGAGACCAGGCACGAUGAAGACGGUUUCAUUGGACGUCAUCAUGGAAGUCACAACCUCGAUAUACCUCACAUACCUAAUAUUCACAUUGACAGCGGACAUCAUAAUGACUCUGGCCAUCAUAACGACAGAUAUGACAAUUGUCAAGACAGCAGAAACGACCACGGAUGCUGUGACAACGAUACAGGCGGUUACGCGGGUGAUGGAUGUGACAGCGGUGGUGGUGACACUGGCGGUUGUGACAGUGGGGGAGGAUGUGACAGUGGGGGUGGUUGUGACAGUGGGGGAGGCUGCAAUGAUUGAAACUUUAAUAACUAUAUGGCAUUUAGUGUGGUAAAUGUAUACUUUUGAGUCGUUUACUUAAAAGGUAGCACGAAAAACGUUAUGUGAAGAUUAAGCCACGAAACAAACGGAUUAAGAAUGAAUAUUGUCGUGAUUCGUGACAGCUUUAUUUUUAGGGUUCCGUAUUCAAAGGAUAAACACGGGAUCCUAUUACUAAGACUCCACUGUCCAUCUGUUCAUCUGUCCGUCUGUCUGUCACCAGGCUGUAUCUCAUGAACCGUGAUAGACAGUUGAAAUUUUCACAGAUGAUGUAUUUCUAAUUGCCGCUAUAACAACAAAUACUAAAAAGUACGGAACCCUCGGUGGGCGAGUCCGACUCGCACUUGUCCGGUUUUUUACAAUAGAACCUACACUGACAUCAGAAUAAUAUUUGAAUCCUGUUAUUUAGUUAUCGUGCGUCUCACCCGCACCAAUACAUGUGUGGACAAGUACGAGCAAAAUGUCAGAACGUAAGUUCGAAAGAACGUAUGUGCCAUUAUUUCUAAAUAUUAUCAUAUAAAAAUAAUAAUUAUUAAUAUUAACCCCUGCCUUCAUU